rnacentral:rRNA from 1 species
GAUGAACGCUGGCGGCGUGCCUAAUACAUGCAAGUCGAGCGAACAGACGAGGAGCUUGCUCCUCUGACGUUAGCGGCGGACGGGUGAGUAACACGUGGAUAACCUACCUAUAAGACUGGGAUAACUUCGGGAAACCGGAGCUAAUACCGGAUAAUAUAUUGAACCGCAUGGUUCAAUAGUGAAAGACGGUUUUGCUGUCACUUAUAGAUGGAUCCGCACCGCAUUAGCUAGUUGGUAAGGUAACGGCUUACGAAGGCAACGAUGCGUAGCCGACCUGAGAGGGUGAUCGGCCACACUGGAACUGAGACACGGUCCAGACUCCUACGGGAGGCAGCAGUAGGGAAUCUUCCGCAAUGGGCGAAAGCCUGACGGAGCAACGCCGCGUGAGUGAUGAAGGUCUUCGGAUCGUAAAACUCUGUUAUUAGGGAAGAACAAAUGUGUAAGUAACUAUGCACGUCUUGACGGUACCUAAUCAGAAAGCCACGGCUAACUACGUG